rnacentral:rRNA from 1 species
AGUUUACGCUCUAUAACCCUUUGUGAACAUACCUAUAACUGUUGCUUCGGCGGGUAGGGUCUCCGUGACCCUCCCGGCCUCCCGCCCCCGGGCGGGUCGGCGCCCGCCGGAGGAUAACCAAACUCUGAUUUAACGACGUUUCUUCUGAGUGGUACAAGCAAAUAAUCAAAACUUUUAACAACGGAUCUCUUGGUUCUGGCAUCGAUGAAGAACGCAGCGAAAUGCGAUAAGUAAUGUGAAUUGCAGAAUUCAGUGAAUCAUCGAAUCUUUGAACGCACAUUGCGCCCGCCAGCAUUCUGGCGGGCAUGCCUGUUCGAGCGUCAUUUCAACCCUCAAGCUCUGCUUGGUGUUGGGGCCCUACAGCUGAUGUAGGCCCUCAAAGGUAGUGGCGGACCCUCCCGGAGCCUCCUUUGCGUAGUAACUUUACGUCUCGCACUGGGAUCCGGAGGGACUCUUGCCGUAAAACCCCCAAUUUUCCAAAGGUUGACCUCGGAUCAGGUAGGAAUACCCGCUGAACUUAAGCAUAUCAAUAAGCGGAGGAGGUC